rnacentral:lncRNA from 1 species
GUGCAUGAACAAUGAGUUUAUAUCAAAACAUCACUUGAACAUUUCUAUUUCUCAUUCAAGCCUUUUGCAACUUGAAGAACAAAGUUAAAUGCUACUACGGACCAGUUCCUAAAGUUAGUAUUUUGUUGUCCUUAGUUGAAUUGUAACUUUGUGAUUGUUCUUAUUGUAUCUCCUAAACUACUUAGCCAGAAGCGUCAAUUAGGAAUCCUCUUGUAAAAUCCGUAAACUCUCCGAGUUUAUGUUGUGACUAGAUUUAGUCAUAAGUUAAAGUCUUUGUAACUAGAGAGUGACAAAGUGGCUUGUGGUGAGAGUAUCAUAAGUUAGUUAAAGUCUUUGUAGCUAGAGUGUCACAAAGUGGCUUGUGGUGAGCGUACCACAAGUUAGUUGAGUUGAAUCCUUUGUAAUAGAGUUAUUACAACGUGGAUUGUAAUAGGUGUUUACAAGUUAGCGAAGUUGAAAGCCUACAGGUGUAGGUCGGGGUUUUUGUCCCCAUCAGUUGGGAGUUUUUCACGUAAAAAUUCUUUGUCUCAUUUACUUACAGUUUUACUAGCAUUCUCAGCAUAACCUCAUAGAGGACCAGGUACUCCACUGUUUGGUGGACUCAUACAAAUUAUCAAUUGGUAUUAGAGUAGGUUCCUCCUAUCAUGCUAACACCUAGGAAGGAUACUUAUGGCUGCUCCACCAAAUUUUAAAGAAGGUCAAUCUACAUACCGACCACCCAGGUUCAAUGGACAAUACUAUGGGUGGUGGAAAACAAGAAUGCAUGAUUUUAUCAUGGCCAAGGAUUCUGAGUUAUGGGAUGUCAUAUGUGAUGGUCCUUAUGUUCCAACAAAGGUACUGGAAGAACUUCUAUUUUCAAUGUCAAAAACCAGUAAAGAAUACACCGAUGCAGACAGGAAAGCUGUGGAGAAGAUUUUUUGUGCCAAGAACAUUCUGGUAUAUGGAAUAGGACCUGAAGAAUAUAAUAGAAUCUCAUCUUGCGACACUGCUAAGGAGAUAUGGGAAGCUUUGCAAAUAGCUCAUGAGAGAACCACCCAAGUAAAAUAGUCUUAGAUCGAUAUUCUCACUACCGAGUAUGAAAUCUUCAGGAUGAAGGACGAUGAAUCUAUUCAAGAUAUGCACACAAGAUUCACUUCCAUCAUAAAUGAGUUACACUCACUUGGUGAAACCAUUCUUAGAAACAAGCUAGUGAGGAAAAUCCUCAAUAUUCUACCUGGCCCUUGGUAAAGCAAGGUGAAUGCUGUUACUGAAUCAAAAGACUUGCAGGAGCUGACCAUAGAAGAGCUGGUUGGAAAUAUGAAGACCUACGAGAUGAAGAGGAAGAUAGACAUUGAAAGAAGAGAACCAAAGAAAGAAAAGAACCCGGUACUCAAAGCUGAUAGCAAUGACUCAAGUGAGGAAUACAGUGAUAUGGCUUACUUAACUAAAAAAUUUCAGAAGAUGGUCAGAAGAAAUGGAGAAAUGCUAAAAAGGGGCAGCUCUAGCAAACCAAAAAAACUAUGAUCUCUGUCAUAAGUGUGGAAAUCCUAGACACUUCAUCAAAGACUGUCCUCUCUUGAAGCAAGAUUUCUCCAAGAACAACCCUGAAAAAGCAGCUAAGAGGAACCCGAUUCCUUUCAAGGACUUCAAAAGAAAGAGAUCUGCUGACACUGUGAUGAAAUAGGCUCUUGCAACAUGGAGAGAUUCCUCUGGUGAGUCUGAAGAUGAAAUUGAUGUUGGUGAUAGUUCCAUGAUGGCACUUGAAUACGAGAAAAAUGAAUAUGACUCAAAUUUCGCUUUGAUGGACCAAUUAGAUCAUGAUAAAGACGAUGACAACAAGGAGGUAAAUUUUAGGGAUGUUCAGAGAAUUCUGAAAUCCUACUCUUCUAAGAAACUCAUGUCUUUAGCUAGUGUAUUGAUUGAUGCCAAUCAUAGUCUUAUGGAGGAUAGGGAUUCCUUGACCUUAGAACUAGGAGAAGCUGAACAAACUAGAGAUAACUUAGUGGCUGUAGUUAUUGACCAUAAGGAAACCAUUGAAAACUUCAAAGAAGAAAGAAAUGAUCUCUUGGCAGUAAUUACAAACCUAAGGGAAACAAUAGAGAGACCAGGGACUAAUUCAAAACAUGGAAAUUCUAAAAAAGGAAAAGAGAUAGCCCGUAAGGAACACAUUAGGCUUGAAAAUGUGUUGAAGGCUGUGAGAACUAGGAUACGUGUUGAAACUGAGAAAAACAAGCACCUCCACACUGAUCUAAAAAGAGUAAAGAAUGAUCUUGAAAAGUUUCUAAAGUGGACUUGGUCCUCAUAAGGGAUAGGGUUCCAAAGGGAGAAAACUCCUUACAAUCCUUACAGUAAGUGCGCCACUAUUUCUGAUAACUGGGUUUGUACCCACUAUGGGAACAAUAGGCACUUCACAGAAAAUUUCCAGGGUAGGGUUCAAUCUGUUCAGAAAAAUAAAGUGUUUGCUGAAAAAGUGACUACAAAAGAGGGACCAGGUUCCAUUCACAAAAAGCGUACAUUACCUGCAUGGAGUAAGAGAGCUCUUAUUCAUCUUUUUGCCUACUACAAGGGACCCAAACUUGCUUGGGUUCCUAAAACUAACUCUUGAUCUUCUUGUGCAGGCAAUAGUGAAAGGAAGUGGUUAACAAUGGUUCAUGGAUAGUGGGUGUUCAAAGCACAUGACUGGGAAUACCAUGGACUUUCUUUCACUAAAAGCCCUGUAAGGAGGGAGUGUAUCCUUUGGAAAUGGAAAAAAGGGGUACAUUCUUGAAGUUGGAAAAGUCGGGAAGUCACUUACUCAUUCUAUUGAAAAUGUGUACUAUGUCAAUGGCCUUAAGUACAACCUCUUGAGUGUCUCUCAGAUAUGUGAUAAAGGAAACAAGGUGGAAUUCUUGUCCAAGAUAUGUACAAUUACUGAUCUGGUAACUGGUGAAGUGGUACUUGUGGCCAAGAGAUACAAGAACAUCUAUGUUGCUAAUUUAGAGGCCUUACAAAGUGGUGAUCUGAGUUGUCUGAAAACUGUUAAUGAUGAUGCUGAACUGUGGCACACAAGCUUUUCUCUUCUGAACAAACUAAUUGAGAAGGAUCUGGUCCAUGGUUUGCCCAUGUCAAAGUUCAAGGUGCAAAAAAUUUGUGAUGCAUGUGCUAGAGGAAAACAUAUGAAGUCCUAUUUUAAGUCAAAAAGGGAUGUGAGCACCUCAAAGCCACUAAAGCUUUUGCAUAUAGACCUAUGUGGUCCUAUGAGAGUGCAAAACAGAGGAGGAAAAAGAUAUAUUUUUGUGAUAGUGGAUGACUACUCCAGAUUCACAUGGACUCUGUUUCUUAGAACUAAAGAUGAAACCUUUGAGGUGUUUGUGGCCUUUGUGAAGAAAAUCUAGGUGAAGAUGGAGUCUAGGGUCGCAUGUAUUAGGUCAGAUCAUGGAACAAAAUUUGACAAUGCCAAAUUUGAUGAGUUCUGCAAUGAAAAUGGCAUCAUCCACAACUUCUCAACUCCCAUAACUCCCCAGCAAAAUGGAGUAGUGGAAAGGAAUAACAGAACUCUGGAAGAAAUGGCAAGAACAAUGCUAAUCGACAGUGGAAUUGCAAAGAACUUCUGAACUGAAGCGGUCAACACUGUCUGCUACUUGGUGAAUAGGUGCAUGAUCAGAUUCCUCCUGCACAAAACCCCAUAUGAGUUGCUGAAUGAAAGGAAACCCAAGCUGACUCACUUAAGAACAUUUGGGUGCAAAUGCUAUGUUCUCAAUAAUGGGAAGGAUCAGCUUGGUAAAUUUGAUGCCAAAAGUGAUGAAGGAAUAUUUCUAGGCUACUCUUCUCAAAGCAAAGCAUACAAGAUAUAUAAUAAGUGGACUUAAUGUGUUGAGAAAAGUGUUCAUGUUAUUUUUGAUGAGUCUUAUCCAUCCUAUGAGAAGAGUGCUGAAGAAGAUCAAGAUGGAGAACCCUUACUAGUCUCUGGUGAAGUCAUGGACAUGACAAAUGGAAAGACAGACAUGAUGAGCCAAGUAAAAGAGCUGAGUGAAGACAAUACUGCCUCAUCUUCAAUGGAACCAAGUACUUCAAUUACAACCACUGAAGUUGAAGAAAGAGUAGUUGAUGCAGUUCAGGGCACUCCACUAGCACUUGAGAGAAGAACAUAGGAAAAUCAAUCAAAUGUACCCACAUUCUCUCUAAAUGAGCCUCAGACGUCUAACUGGAGACACAAAAGCUCUCAUCCUCUUGACAACAUAAUUACCUCUCUAGAUUUAGGAGUACAAACCAGGUCAAAACAAAAAUUCUUUUUCCUUCUCAGUCUUUCUCUCCCAAAUAGAACCCAAGAAUAUCAAGGAAGCCUUGAAAGAUGUAGAUUGGAUUACAGCCAUGCAAGACGAGUUGUAUCAGUUUGAAAGGAACAAUGUCUGGCACCUGGUACCUAGACCCUCAGAUCGAACCAUUAUAGGAAUCAGGUGGGUAUUCAGGAACAAGCUUGAUGAACAUGGAAAUACUACAAGGAACAAGGCCAGGCUAGUGGUUCAAGGCUACAAUCAGGAGGAAGGGAUUUACUAUGAUGAAACGUUUGCUCCGGUCGCUCGCAUGGAAGCUAUUAGAAUUCUAAUCGCUUUUGCAUAUCAUAUGGAAUUUGCCUUGUCCCAAAUGGAUUUCAAAAAUGCAUUUCUGAAUGGACUUCUUAAGGAAGAAGUCUAUGUGAAGCAACCUCCAGGGUUUGAAUGUCAUUAACACCCUGAAUAUGUAUUUAAACUGGACAAGGCAUUGUAUGGGCUGAAGCAGGCUCCUUGAGCUUGGUAUGAAAGGCUAUCAAAGUUCCUCUCAAAAAAUGGCUUUAAAAGAGAGAAAAUUGACAACACCCUAUUCCUAAAGAAAUGGGGAAGGAACCUGCUCAUUAUUCAGGUCUAUGUUGAUGAUAUCAUUUUUGGGGCAACAACUGAUUCUCUGUGUGAAAAAUUUGCAAAACUCAUGGGAAGUGAGUUUAAAUGAGUAUGAUGGGGGAGCUAAACUUAUUCUUGGGUCUUCAAGUAAAACAAUUCCCAAACGGUACAUUUAUUUGUCAGCAAAAAUAUAUCAGGGAGCUCUUGAAGAGGUUUGACAUGGAAGCAUCAAAAGUGAUAGACACUCUCAUUUCUACGACCACUUGACUGGACAUGGAUGAAACUGGGCCUCCUGUAAAUCAAACCAUGUAUAGAGGCAUUAUUGGUUCUCUUCUCUAUCUUACUACCAGUAGACCUGAUAUUGUCUUCAGUGUAGGGUUAUGUGCAAGGUUUCAAUCAAAUCCCAAGGAAUCUCAUUUGAAAGCAACCAAAAGAAUUCUAAGAUAUCUUAAAGGAACACAGGACCUGGUCUUUUAUUAUCCAUCAGGUGACAGUUUUAAUCUCAUUGGUUAUACUGAUGCAGACUAUACAGGUUAUCUUAUGGAUAGGAAAAGCGCUUCUGGAAUGGCUCACUUCCUAGGUUCAUGUAUCAUCUCUUGGGGCACAAGGAAACAAAACUUAGUGGCUCUUUCAACAGCUGAAGUAGAAUAUGUAGCCACAACAUCCUGCUGUGCCCAACUUUUAUGGAUCAAGCAGCAACUGGAGGACUUUUGGGUACUCACUGAGAGUGUGCCUCUUCUAUGUGAUAACACAAGUGCACUCAACAUGGCCAAUAAUCCAGUUCAACACAAAAGGACCAAGCAUAUUGAUGUGAGACAUCACUUUCUGAGGGACAAUGUGGAGAAAGGGUUGAUAUGUAUGAAGUUCUGUAGUACAGGAGAUCAAAUUGCAGACAUAUUUACUAAGGCAUUAAGUAGGGAACACUUUUAAAGAAAUAGAGUAAAGUUGGGGCUUUUAAAGCCCAAUUGAGAACUUGAUUCCUCAUUAUUUGGCUAUUAAAAUCAUCUUCAAGAAAAAUUGGCUAAAAGUGUUUUCUAGCCCCGUCUAACUCACUUCAAUACCGUUGCAGGUAAACACGCAUGAUGAGUAUAGAGUCUGUAGAUGUAGUGCAUGGAUGAUAAACGAGGAUUAAUAUUUUCAAAUAACAGGUCAAGAACCUGAUUCUUGUACCAAAGGUUAGUAGUUCUGUGCAUUCAUUAAUACACGUCUUAAAAAGGUACAAAACAUAACUGCCAAGUCAUCCAACUUUUCAGAUCCUGCUGUCACAUCUCUUCACUUCAAAUCAUUCCAUCUCCCUUUGAAACGUUGCACUUCUCCAUGCCCAACCGUCAUUUCAGAACCGGUCCCUAUCUCUCUCUAUUCAUAAUUAUCCAUUCUUAAUAAAACCCCCUUUUUGUUCUCCACAAAUAAGUCCUCUAUUAGAACUUCCCAAAGCAUCUUCACACCAUCCUUCUAAUGGCUGAGACAAACUCCGGCCUCCCUGCCUCAGUCAUACAUGCUACUGAUAAACCUAUGGAGUCCUCCAUCCCUACCGAGCCUUCUUUAACCACUCUUACCCUUCCCGCUAAAAUCAUACCUCACCCAGAUUCCCCGUCUCUCUCUAUUUCAGAAAACCUUAAAAUUGUUGAUCCGUCCUCUCCAUCUUCUAAGGUUCCCACUAAUAAAAGACCAAAUGGAGAACAAGGUCAAAAUCUUGAGGUCACAGAGGGUUCCGCCAUUGUUGCUACCGAUUCCGUGGUGGCAGUAGUGCCGAUUGAGGAAAAAAAUAUUGUAACCAUCUUUGUGGUAUGUGCUGAUAGUGUACUGCAAGAGAUCAUCUCUCAGAAAAAUGAGGUACAAGGUAUGGGGACGAAUGGGCCAUUGUAACUAUUGAAGGAGCUGCACUGGCAGAUACUACUGGGCCCUCACAUGAGGAACCUGACCCCUCUCCGGAGGACCUAGGUCAGGGUUCUCAUUCCUAGUACAGUUCUGCUCUUGCAUUCAUUGUUGUGCCCUUGGAAAUACAGGCACCUAAGAUGAGGUCCAAUAAAAAGGAGGAUCUUGAUAACCUGGCUCUCUAUGCAUUCAUAGUUAAGCGAAGGGUGGUGUCCACUCCUGAGUCUUCCACCAAGCGACCCACCACUAGGUUGCAAGCUAAGAUGGCCUAUGUCUCUGCCCUUCAAAAGAGUAGAAAAGAUAGGAAGAAGCAAAGGAGGAAGCUGGUGAAAUAUGGUGUGCCCGUAAGUGAUAAGGUGAUUCUUGUGGUAGAGGUGGAAGAGGAAACACCAGAUGAACCUGGUUCACUAGUUAGACGGUCUCAGAAAAAGAAGCAGCCUACUUCAGUAGAGAAGGUUUCAACCUCUGGCUCCAAGUUGAAGGAUGUUGUGAGUGAGUUCUCGAUAUCUGAUGAGGAUAUGUUAGUCAAAACCAAGGGAAACGAGAAAUCAAGUGGUGGGGAGUCCAACAAAUGGAAGUUUGAAAUUGUUCAGGAACCUGGUUAUGUGAAGAGGAUGAGAAGUGAAGUCAGCCUUGGCUCAGAACACGUGAGGCACCAAAACAUUCUGUUGGGUCGUACGUUCGACCCAUCAAUCUCUGAGAUGGCUGGUAUGCACCAAAUUCUUGAAAUGAUUGAGUUUCAAUGAUGGGGGCAUCUAUUCCAAAUAGAUGCACCUAAGGCAUAUGAGGAUGAGGUACAAAGCUUCUUUGCUAGCCUCUUUCCCGAUGAGACCGACCACAUCUGUGCUAUGGUGAAUGGAGUAGAUAUCGUAUUCGAUGUACAAUUGCUUGGAGAAAUUCUUAAAGUUCCCACAGCUGGUAUGUCCAGUGUAAAGGAUGUGUGUCAGUUUAACUUUAGAAAUGCCGUGGUAAAAGACAAUGCAAACCAAAAGGGGGACUAGAUCCAUAGGAAAGCGUUACUCCCUAUCUACCAGUUGCUUUUCGAAUUGGUAAACAAAGUUCUAUUGCCUCGAGCUGAGAGGAGGUCUGUGACCUCUAAGUCUGACCUAUUCUUAAUGGAGCAACUGGAUAGCUUCACUCUUGUGAGCCUUCCUGCUAUUAUGAUUGAACACAUGCAAAAGGUCACCCCCUUCAAAGAUAGUAGCUAUGGCCUUCCCUACGGGUUCUUGCUUACGUGAGUGUUUAAAUUCUUUGAGGUGCCACUGGGGAUAGGCAAGGUGGGGACUAAUAAGAACAUUAAAAGAAUGCGAGUGCAUAGAAAAGAGUGGGGGAGUAGGAAGUACAUCAACCAUCUCACAACUUAUUAAUGCUCAGAACAGUGCAACUGAGGAGAUUCGUCGGUUGAAGGCCAGGAAUGCUAUCCUGGAAGGUCAGCAAGCCCAAGGGGUUCCGGCAUCAAAUGAUGAAGUAGCUCGUUUGACAAAAGAGAAUGUUGAUAUUAGGGAGCAAGUGGAGAAGCUGAAAGCAGAACUGCUCAAUGAGCAAACUUCGGCCAAUGCCCGAAUAGACCUUGUUCUCCAAACACUUGUUGCAGCUUCCAAGCCCUCUACUCCUAGUGCCCCCUAAGUACCCUUUCAGUGACUAGUAUCUGGAAAUGUUCUUUUAAGUUUUUUUUUGUGUUAUUUGGCAGAUGUUUUGUUUUCCUUUUUUUGAUGUGGUUGGGAUGAAACAAUACUGCUCCCAUUUUAACAGUCCAAUGUUGCCUUUGCUUUUUAAGCAAAGGCAUAUAAAGUUUUUUUCAAUAUCAAAUCUAUCCUCUUUUAUUAUCUCAUUGCUUUAAUUCUAUGUUUCUCUUCUCUAUCAUGUUGUGUGCACAUUCAUGGAAUGAGUUGGCUCGGCUAGACUUCUUUAUGCUGUUUAUCUGUUUGUGUCUUUUUAAUGAUGCCAAAAGGGGGAAUAAUAAUAAAUAAGUGUGUAGUAGAUAAUAAUGAGAAAUAAGGAAGGCAUAAAGUCAGGGGGAACUACUUGUGAAACUUGUGUUCUCCUGUUACUUAAUCUGGUUCUCAAUGCUCUAAAUUGACUUUAUCCAUGUUAAGUUUGUCAUCAUCAAAAAGGGAGAAAUUGAUAGAGUUUAAAUGUCUUUGCCUUAUGUUUUGAUGAUCUAGCAAACUUACUGUUAAGAACCAGAUAGGGAACCUGACACACUUGGACUAGACUGCAAGAUUAACAGAUUCUAGCUAAAUGUGAACUGUUAUAGCUUCAGGAGAUAGAAAACCAAAUAAGGACCUGAUACCCUUGUGGUUCCCUCAUAGCAUUACAAAGUUAAUUGGGCACAGCUGGACGCGACGUGACCGCCUGCACUAUUUCUGCCUGCACUGCACUAUUUUCAGUGCCCACUUAUUCCUUGACCAACUAAAGUGCUUACAUCAUUUCAAGUGAUGUCAUCAACGUGUAUCAACAAUGAGUUUAUAUCAAAACAUCACUUGAACAUUUCUAUUUCUCAUUCAAGCCUUUUGCAAAACAGAGAAAUCAAUUCUUACGAGCUUGAAGAACAAAGUUAAACGCUACUACAAACCAGUUCCUAAAGUUAGUAUUUUGUUGUUCUUAGUUGAGUUGUAACUUUCUGAUUGUUCUUAUUGUAUCUCCUAAACUGCUUAGCCAGAAGCGUCGAUUAGGAAUCCUCUUGUAAAAUCCAUAAACUCUCCGAGUUUAUGUUGUGACUAGGUUUAGUCAUAAGUUAAAGCCUUUGUAACAGAGAGUGACAAAGUGGCUUGUGGUGAGAGUAUCAUAAGUUAGUUAAAGUCUUUGUAACUAAAGAGUCACAAAAUGGCUUGUGGUGAGAGUACCACAAGUUAGUUGAGUUGAAUCCUUUGUAAUAGAGUUAUUAUAAAGUGGCUUGUAAUAUGUGUUUAAAAGUUAGUGAAGUUGAAAGCUUAUAGGUGUAGGUCAUGGUUUUUGUCCCCUUGAGUUGGUAUUUUUCCACGUAAAAAUCCUGUGUCUCAUUUACUUACAGUUUUACUAGCAUUCUCAGCAUAAACUCAUAGAGGACCAGGUACUCUACUGUUUGGUGGACUCAUACAAAUUAUCAAACUGGCAAUAUUAGAAGACCAUUGAGAGACACCAACAAUCUCUCUCUGAGUUUGAUAGUACCUACUGGCAUUAGAUUGCCCAUACCUCUCAUCUAUAUAUUUCUUAUUCUCCCUUGCAGUGUCACAAUGCAAAACAUUAUCAACAAUAUCUUUAGACAAAGAAAUGCUUAACCAUGUAAAUACCAUAUUGUUGCAUCUCACCCAAUGAUUAUAGAUAAGGGAAGAAGGAGGUGGAUUGGAGUUUCUUCUAUUGAUCAUCCGAGCCUUGUUCUUUGCACAAAUGCAAUGAGAACAUUUUUCUUCCAGGAUGCGUAACCGGUUCCAUUGAAAAGUACUGGUAUAAGUAAGCUUUGCGGGUUAUCAGAUAGAUGUACAUAUAGAGGAUAUAGAGGAUGGGAAGAGUCAAUGGAAUGGCUAAUGGUGGAGUCAACAAUUGAAGGGGUUGUGUAAGCGUCGGUACUCAUAUUCACUAAACAACACUAUUGUUCAACUAACAAUUAAAUGAUUCUCACAGUACAAGCAACAAGUAAGUGAAAAGUAUACAUGCAUCUAUCCGUGACCUCAGAUAAAAUAUGCAACACAAAGAAUAACACCAAAAUCUCAAGCUAGGGCCC